rnacentral:rRNA from 1 species
GACACUGCAAUCGCUUCGACGACAUCCCGCAAGGUUGUCUAGGAGUGUUGUUGUUGUGCUCGUUGGAUGCAUUUGCGUGCGGAGUGCGCCGAGUGGGUCGAUGUCGCUGCCGGAAGGGCGUAUAGAGGACUCGGGUUUUCGGACUCGAGAAUCCUGUGCGUUCGGAUAGCAGGUGAUGUUGGCUCGCUGUUGUGGAGUGCGGGUGAAUUCGCGAUGGGUGUCGGUUGUGAGUUGUGGUUGCGGAU